rnacentral:tRNA from 1 species
UGCGGGAUAGAGCAGCUAGGAAGCUCACCGGCUCAUAACUCGGAGGCCGUGGGUGAAAAUCCUACUCCCGCUA